AUUGAACGCUGGCGGCAUGCCUUACACAUGCAAGUCGAACGGCAGCACGGGGGCAACCCUGGUGGCGAGUGGCGGACGGGUGAGUAAUGCAUCGGAACGUGCCCUGAAGUGGGGGAUAACGCAGCGAAAGCUACGCUAAUACCGCAUAUUCUGUGAGCAGGAAAGCAGGGGAUCGCAAGACCUUGCGCUUUGGGAGCGGCCGAUGUCGGAUUAGCUAGUUGGUGGGGUAAAGGCCUACCAAGGCGACGAUCCGUAGCGGGUCUGAGAGGAUGAUCCGCCACACUGGGACUGAGACACGGCCCAGACUCCUACGGGAGGCAGCAGUGGGGAAUUUUGGACAAUGGGCGGAAGCCUGAUCCAGCCAUGCCGCGUGAGUGAAGAAGGCCUCCGGGGUUGUAAAGCUCUUUCGGCGGGGAAGAAAUUGCUUGGGUUAAUACCCUGAGUAGAUGACGGUACCCGCAUAAGAAGCACCGGCUAACUACGUGCCAGCAGCCGCGGUAAU
rnacentral:rRNA from 1 species